CCUACGGGCGGCAGCAGUGGGGAAUAUUGGGCAAUGGGCGCAAGCCUGACGCAGCAACGCCGCGUGAAGGAAGAAGGCUUUCGGGUUGUAAACUCCUUUUCUGAGGGACGAAGAAAGCGACGGUUCCCCAGGAAUAAGCCACUGCUAACUUCGUGCCAGCGGCCGUGGUACUACGGUGGUGGCAAGUGUUAUCCGGAUUUAUUGGGUGUAAAGGGCGUGUAGGCGGGAAAGCAAGUCAGAGGUGAAAACUCAGGGCUCAACCCUAGGACUGCAUUUGAAACUGUUUUUCUUGAGUGCUGGAGAGGCAAGCGGAAUUCUGGGUGUAGCGGUGAAAUGCGUAGAUAUAAGGAGGAACACUAGUGGCGAAGGCGAAGUGCUGGACAGUAACUGACGCUGAGGCGCGAAAGCGUGGGGAGCAAACAGGAUUAGAUACCCGUGUAGUC
rnacentral:rRNA from 1 species